UACGUAGGGUGCAAGCGUUAAUCGGAAUUACUGGGCGUAAAGCGUGCGCAGGCGGUGAUGUAAGACAGAUGUGAAAUCCCCGGGCUCAACCUGGGAACUGCAUUUGUGACUGCAUCGCUGGAGUGCGGCAGAGGGGGAUGGAAUUCCGCGUGUAGCAGUGAAAUGCGUAGAUAUCGGAAGGAACAUCAGUGGCGAAAGCGGCUUCCUGGUCCAGCACCGACGUUCAGGCACGAAAGCGUGGGGAGCAAACAGG
rnacentral:rRNA from 1 species